rnacentral:rRNA from 1 species
UACGGAGGGUGCGAGCGUUGUCCGGAAUCACGGGGCGUAAAGGGCGCGUAGGCGGCCUGAUAAGUAGGGGGUGAAAUCCUGCGGCUUAACCGCAGGGCUGCCUUCUAAACUGUCAGGCUAGAGCACAGUAGAGGCAGGUGGAAUUCCCGGUGUAGCGGUGGAAUGCGUAGAGAUCGGGAAGAACAUCAGUGGCGAAGGCGGCCUGCUGGGCUGUUGCUGACGCUGAGGCGCGACAGCGUGGGGAGCAAACAGG